rnacentral:misc_RNA from 1 species
UAAUCUCACUACCAUCGACUUUGGUCUCUUGGUAUGUGGACUUGGACGCUGCCGUGGUCAAUCCGACGGCUCGUCUGAAAUGCUUCAGUGUACCCCGCUUUGCGGCGUAUUCGGUGUGAUACAUCUUCACCGGAGUUGAUCCUUUUGGGUCGCGUCUGUAAUGGUGUGGCUCUAUGCUCCCAACCGUCUACCAAGUGGACAAUCUCUGACA